rnacentral:rRNA from 1 species
UACGAAGGGGGCUAGCGUUGCUCGGAAUCACUGGGCGUAAAGGGUGCGUAGGCGGGUCUUUAAGUCAGGGGUGAAAUCCUGGAGCUCAACUCCAGAACUGCCUUUGAUACUGAGGAUCUUGAGUUCGGGAGAGGUGAGUGGAACUGCGAGUGUAGAGGUGAAAUUCGUAGAUAUUCGCAAGAACACCAGUGGCGGAGGCGGCCAACUGGUCCGGUACUGACGCUGAGGUGCGAAAGCGUGGGGAGCAAACAGG